AAAAGGAUAAUAAUAAUUGAAGUGCUCGACAAUGACAUUUGAAACCAUGUGACCGCAAAGAUAAAAAAAGAAAUAAAAACACAAAAUCAAGAGCUAAUAGAUUUUUUUUUCGCCAAACUACCAAGACAAUUGAAACUAAUUAUAAAACAAAGUGUUCCAGUUCGUUUAAUUAUCAUACCAAAUGUGCAGACAAAGUAAUCCUGGUUAAAAAAUAAUAUAAUUUUUCCAACAAGUGUUAAGAAACUAUCAAGACAAAAGUGCUACGACAAUGUGAUCCACGCAAAAAACAUUAUCAAGACAAGUGUUGAAAUGUGAUUUAAACAAAACAAACUAACAAGACAAAAGUGUUAUGACGAUGUUAUUUUGAUUUUAAAAAAGUUAUCAAGACAAAAGUAUUAAGAAAAUGUGAUUCGGUAAAAAAAAAAAAAAAAAACUAUCAAGCCAAAACUGUUAGGGCGAUGUGAUUCUGAAAAAAAACAUACCAAAACAAACGUGUUAAGACAAUGUGAUUCUGGUUAAAAAAAACCUAUCGAGACAAAAGUGUAAAGACAAUUUGGUUGUGGACAAAAGCCUCUCAAGAUAAAAGUGUAAAACAAGAGUGAUCUGGGACAACUUAGUGAAUAUCAAACAUAAAAAGGUAGACAAAUGUUUUCACGUUCAUGGGUAUAUCAUCACCAAUGUGCAUAGAAUGUGAUUCCAGGUAAAAAAAAAAAUUUUACAGACAAAUCUCUGAAAAAGAUGUGACUCAAAGCGUUACGAUUUUGUAGAAACAAGAAAACUCGGGACGAUGCGAUUCCAAAAAGCAAAACGCGAUAAAAAUGUCGGAAAAAGCAAAAACCAAAACAAUAAAGUCUAAGAAAAGGAUGAAUAUAUAAACAAAAUUGGAAAAAAUGUGAUAGAAAUACAUUUAAAAAUUACGAUUCAAGGACGGGAGAGAGAAACAAAAGAAAAACAAAAAAUACCUACUAAACACAACGAAUGAAUUUAAGCAAAGAUAAUUGCAUUAGUAAUUUACAUUGCACUACAUAAGCUAUUGACUAAUCAUUUAUACAUAUAUUUUUUCAGUGGUAUAUUUCUAGAAAUAUAUAAAUAUGGAUAAUGACUACCAAAAAGGCGUGACUAAAUAGUGAUUAAUGACUAAAUAAGUGAUACACAUCUUGGCAAAAAGUAUAUAAAAGUAAUAUAGAAAAAAUUCUUUUGGAAAAAUACUAUAAAUACAAACAAUGGAAGGUCAGCUGGCUACCCAUAUAUGAUACCUACAAAGACAUUUAGCAAAUUAUUAACAACUAAUCAUGGUUCCUGAUAUUCACGUGGCCAGCAACAUGUGUGAUUUCAUAACCUCUUGAGACUAGAGAGAAUAUUUCGAUCAACUGCCGAGAAACCAAAUACCAAACUGAGGGAAAAUGAACAAAUAAAAAGACGGAGAAAUCAGGAAAUACAAUUCAGUAAAUAUAGAUUUAUAAAGGGUGGAAAAAAUGCCGAAAGAACGCAUCAAAAGUGAGCGCGGAACGGAAGGGGACGACGAGAACGCGCCCACCGCAGGCCAGCGAGGCGAAAAGAAGACGCUCGCAGACGACGGCGGCCAUUAGCAAAAAAAGAUAAGAAAAUGUCCAAGACAACAAUGACGCGUAUGUGCUAGGUAAGAAAAGGAUGAUGACGAUGAUGAUGGUGAUAAAGGUGGCAGGGAGAAAAGUGACAGUAAGUCUACCCUCUUUUUAAACAACUAUGACGAUCCAAUAUAUCAAUAUAAACUAAUGUUAUUGGUUAUUAUCAUCAACUUCACUUUUCAACUGCCCACUCUUGUCAAAAAAAAAAACUGAAGUUAAUACUGAAAGUAAAACCUUUUAUAAAAUCAUUACAAUGAUCAACAGUUAUUAAUAUAAAAAUCACUGGUAUUCUUAGCUACUAAUAUCCCCCACAUUAUCUUACAACUAACCAUGCGUCUCAAAAUAAAAGUAGCUAAAAUAGUUAAUACUGUAAGUUCCGUCUCUUCUAAAAUAACUAAGAUGAUGAACAAUUAUCAAUACAAAAUCACUGAUACUCGUAGCUAUUAAUGUCAUCCACAUCAUUUUACAUCCUCAGCCUCUUCUCAAAUAACUAAGAUGAUCAACAAUGAUCAAUUCUAAAGUCAGUCAUUCAUAGUUAUUAACAUUCACAUCAUUUUAUAUCUGCAGCUUUUUCUAAAAUAACUGAGAUGAUCAACAAUGAUCAAUUCUAAAGUCAGUCAUUCAUAGUUAUUAAUAUUCACAUCAUUUUAUAUCUGCAGCUUUUUCUAAAAUAACUGAGAUGAUCAACAAUGAUCAAUUGUAAAGUCAAUUAUUCAUAGUUAUUAACAUCAUCCACAUCAUUUGAC